rnacentral:lncRNA from 1 species
GCUGGGAAUUCAUAGUCAAUUUCAAGUUUCAGGUCAGACUAGAAAAAUAUUCUAGGUCCCCAAUGAUUUCCGUAUGACUAUUCUGGCCUGGAAUUGGUUAUUCACAUUGAAUUAAAACUUGAAUGACUAACCCUGCGUGUUGUCCUUUAGUACCAGAUUAUUUCACAGCUCCACUAAUAAUAAAUCUGGGGAGGAAUUCCCUCAAUUAGAUUUCUCUCUCCAAUGCUGCACUUUUCUAGAAAGCAAACAGUUUGUAUCUAGUCUUAUGUGCGUUGAAUACACAAAGUACCUUGUGGGGUGCUCCACUGUUGAUAAUGAACCAUUUAUUAAUUUGGCAUAUCCCUGACUUUCUAUUUCAGUCCAACAGCACGUACUUUUCUAUGAAAAGAAGAAAAUCCGUUCCAUUUAGACGGCACGCAGUGGAAGAAUCAGAUUACUAUAAAGUGGACUCCUGGAAAAUUACAAGGUUUCACAUAUCCUGUGGCACACGCUGCGAUGAGGAAAUCUGCUACACCAGGCCAUCUAUUGUUUGAGGAGACAAUGUAAAAUCCCAAGAAGAAAAUACAUUUGAGCAUAUCUCUUGCAAGUGCUGUCCCCUGGGUUCUUCAAUUGCUGCAACUAAUUCAAUAAAUAGUUGCCAUUUACCGAACAGUUUAUUUUUCCAGCACUGCAAUCUGUUAUUUAUUUUGGCUGUAUAAUCAUAAAUUUAAUUAAUGUUUGUCCUUUUGGUAAGACAAUGUAUUUGUUCUACAAUUAAAAGGUGGAAAUUAUAAAGAUAAAAUUCGGCUCACACGCAGAAGGUGGAAAUUAUAAAGAUAAAAUUCGGCUCACACGCAGAAGGUGCAACUUUGUUUGCCCCAAAGAUGAUAUGUAAGCCAACAGCCUACAAUUGUACAUCAAAAUAUAUUGGCUGUGAUCUGAACUCAACUUCGGAAAGCAAUGUCCCAUUUCAGGAAUCUGAAUCUCUUGCCCAAGCUGGUUUCCUCAAAGACUCCGCAGUAUUUUGCACCAUUACUUGUCCUGGCUGUUUAUUUUUUUUCUAUUUUAUUUAAAUUCUUUAAGUUUUGCAUUUAAUAGGUACAAAAUAAUAAAAUAAAAAAAACACUGAGAAAAUAAAUGGGUAAACAAAAUUGCACAGAAUCUUCCACAAUACGUGUACAUGGGUUAAAACAAUACAUUGAAGACCUUUGAAUAUGUGAACAAUCUCCUAAUGUGGGGUAGCAGCAAUAAACCUUUUCCAUAUGAAUCAAAUCACAGUCGUUCAACACAUGCCAAGCAUUAGAGGAUAAAGUUGUGAAGAUUCAAUCCCUGCUAGAUUUUCUGCACAAUUUUAGUAAUGGGAUAAAUGGAUGUCGAUACUUAACACUGGUAAUGAGUAGGUGGGUGGUGUGGUGUUUGGUCCCUGGAUGUGCUUUGGAAGGACAUAGUUAAAUGAUUAAAUACUACUUCGUAUUGAAUGUUUCACUUUGGGAGGCAAGGCAGGGGUGCAGCGCUGUGCAAACAAUGCUUCUUAAUAGGAAGCCGUGGCUUCUGCUUU